GCGAGCCUUUCACUCAAACCGCAGGAUGAGGCAGAGGCACAAGACCGACGAUACAAGGAAAUGCGCACUCAGCAAAAAGUACAUUUAUAAAUAAAUAAAAUCAUCCACAACAAUGGCAUUUUAAACAUCCUCUCACUCUCCCCUCACCCCUCUCUCUCUUACACACACACACACAUACACUCACACUCAGAUUCAAGAAGCAUUAUUAUAUUAUACAUACAUAUUGCCAAUGGAGAUUGUUUGAAUAGUAGUUAACAGGAUAAUAAUAAUAAUAAUAUAAUGGUCUCUGGGUGACCUCCUCCUCCUAGCAGAAGCCCUGUAGAGCUACAUAUAUAUUCUUUAUGGGUGGCAACUAUGGGCUCAAAUGAAUGCCAAAACACAAACCAUAAGUUGCAAGCACAAGUCAUUGCUUACAAAUACAAAAUACUUUUGGCAUUAAUUUGAGCCCAUAGGCGACCAGUGACCUCACGCCUUAGCGCGUUUGUCUUUUCUUCUAAACGGGCGGGGCAGCAGUUUCCCUUCCGCGGCCACCGUCCUAACAGAGUGCCCGCGCGAUUAACAGGCGGGUCCCGAAACGAAUAUGGAAAGGGCGCCCGAUCGCUCCCUUGUUAUUAAUUGUCUGCACCGCUUAUGGAAAUAUAUUUUUUUAAAUAUAUAAUAGCGCUACCUGAAGCCUCUGCCCGUUGUCAAGACGCGAGAACAAAUUACAUUGAUUUACCGCUCGCCCCCCAGCCCAGCCAAUCAUGUCCAGACCUGCACCACCAGUAGGUCACAUGCUGUUUUUUUUUUUUAGGUUCAGUCUUAAAAUGAUUGGCAGUCUUUACGGAUGGUGAUGUGAGCCUCCCGGGAAUGGAAAUGGAGCUCUCCCAAGUGUUUUCUCCAAAACAAUCAUCCGUUGGAGAUUCCCGAACGCCUGUGUGCGCAGUUACCCUCCAGCCCUGUCCAAACGACUUUUUUUUCACGGGCUUGGGCAUUGCGCCGUUAAGAAAGCAUCUUGCGUGAGAUUGUUGCGCUCUGGUAAAUCUCACAGCCGGGGAGACGGCAACGCUGAGGAUCGGCAUUUGUAUGCGAUUCGCCGUCUAGGCCCGGGCCUGCUGCUUUGUGUGUGUUUGGCACUUUCUGGCUCAAUAAAAAGAGCGCCGCGGACUGAAAAUCGAUGGCGGGCGCGAAAAUGAGAGGAGGAGGAGGAGGAGAGAAAAUCCAUUCGCCGUGGGCCUGGCGGCCUGCCCGUCGUCAUCGGCAUGCUCACAGACGCGGAGUUAAUCAUAUUUACAGGCUUUUUCGCAGAGUCGGGAUCGAAGGGUGCGUUCAGUCUGCGCAGACAGGGAGCCACGCUAGCGUAUGCUAAUGCGAGCCGCGACGGGCGCGGACUCCGCCCCCCCCGGUUUCUCUCCGGCUGCCAUUUUGUAAACUGCUGGAUGAGGCUUGAGGAGGAGGGAAGGACACAUCCGACAGCCCAAAUCUCCGCGGCGCUGUCGCCGGUGACUGAGACAGGCGGUACCUUUCAAAGCGCCGGCUCGCUGUUCUGAAUUUCAAAAACCUGGCGACGGCGUCCCGAUUUCCUGCUUCUGAACGCAUUUCGGAAGUUUCCACAACCGCUUAGCAGCAGAUUGUCCGGAGAGUACGCCAAUACAAAAGGGUAAUAUCACUCAGUAAGCCUGUUUAUAAUCAAUACCAUCCACUUAAGUGUUUUAACUGAUCCUAUUUGUACCUGACUGAUACCUGGCAUUUCCUGUUUCCUCAUUAUUUGCUAGUGCAUGUGCAUGAAUGCUGUUGGUUGUUUGUCUGUACACCUGCUCCCUUACAUUUUAAUUGGAAAAUAUUAUUUCUUGAACAUUGUGAAUAAGUAUCACCUUUCUCUGGUUUUUAAUAAAACACAGGUUGUUUUGUAAUGCAUUGGUUUUAGUAAAAAAAAAAAAAUUCUUACAUUCAAGUGUAGCCUGAAGCGGCUACUUCCUGCUUCCUGUGCAUCUGGGUGGUAGUGAUGCGCAAAUGAUGUCACCACCCUCCAUUUUGAUUGUGUUUCUUCCCCCAGGGCUUCUCUUUCCUACCGCAGGUUAUAAUUUGCAAAAUGGUGGUGGGAGAAACAGCUGUGUUUUUCAAGAGCUGCUGUGCCUUUCAUGUGGCGAACACAGAACAGGUGGAUGGCAUUCCACGUCCAGGUGGACAAUGAAGACUUCAGAACCAAGGAUAGCAGCCUCACUCACAGAUCUUCAGGACCAUGGACAGUGGCAGUCACUCACAGCUGUUCAGGACCACGGACAGCGAUAACCACGCACUGCUGUUCAGGACCACGGACAGCCCCAGCCACUUAAAGGAUGCCGCAGCUGGAGCUGGCUGAUACUCAGAGCAGGUGUUGCUCAUUUCCUUCAUCAGGUCUCGUAUAAAAGGCCCAGUCUGCAGUGUCUGCACACUCCCUUUCUCUUCUGCUCUUCCAGGCCCCGGGGGAAGUUUGUGCUGAUUUCUGUCUCCGCCAGAGUUGUCCGCUUUGGCUCCUUCAGCCAAAUUGGCUGAUUUGUCAGUAACUCAGCGCUGACUGGUGAGAUUGGAAAGCCAGCUGUUGUUUUGGUGCUCCUGGGGAUUGGUAGUUUUUUUUCUCUCUCUUUGCUCAGACUACUUACUUCCUUAGUGAUCAGUGUGCCGUUGUAAAGCCAGAACUUCUGGCAUUGUGGAAUUUUGUUUUGUUUUGUUUUGGUGCUACAACUUUGGGUUGUAUGGGUGCCAGUGCCUUACACUAAAAAAUCUGUUACCUAAGAAUUUUCCAAUCUGGCUGGUAAACCUGGUGUAGAGUCGGUGUGCCAUGAUUGUGUUACUGUGCAUGUGUUCCUUCAUAAUAUAAAUAUUUGUAUUUUUGGUGAAGAUAUGAGCGAUGGCCUGUCAGAUUUUAGGCAUUUAAGCAAACUCCUGAGCCAAAGUGUCUUAAACCAGGGGUGUUUAAAAUCCCCACCUGAGAUCAGUUUAGCAAUUAUGGAAUCAGUGCCAUCAUAGUUCUGUGCCAUAAGAUCAAAGGAAGACCAGGGAAAGUAGGGGUAGGGAUAGUUUUUUCUUUUUAAAUGAGAUGUUGAGGUGGGUUUGACAAACUAUAUGCUUCACCUCCUAAAACCUGUCUGUUUGUCCU